ACACCAUCAAGCAGAUCUACAAUAGUGGAGGAACCCUUUCUGCUUACCUGGUGAUGCUGACCGGCCGAGAGGAGCAGGAGAGAACACACGGACAGGUGAACCGCUGAGCAAACACUGGAGGAGAAACACACAGAGAGGCUGUGAUUGCGGUGCAGGUCAGUGUAAUGCUGCAGAGUGUACCUGCGGUGGAGUGUGAUGCUGAGCAUGGAAACCCUACAGAUGUAGAAAUCCUGCUUCAGCUUGCUCUCCUCGCUUCAUUUAACAGUAGUGGUGGGCAAAGUGAGGCUUCAUGAAACUGAAACAGUUGAAGCAAAUGUGUCAAAGCUUUGAAACGUUUCAAAACUCUACAGUGACACCUAGUGGUAAUUGUUAUACAUUGCUCUGGAACAGUUUCAGCAAAGAACAAUUGAGCAAAUUGAGGUAUUAAAACCCACUUUGUACCUUUGAACCUACAAGUGUUAUAGCAGAGCGGUCAGAGUUCCUGACUAUCAUGCAGGGAUACUGGGUUCGAAUCCAGGCAAAUGCAGCUAUGUUGAAAUGCUCUGUUCUUGUAUUGUUUUGUUUCAACAUUGGUCAGACAUCAGAAUAAACACUAUUUGUGAAUAAA